rnacentral:rRNA from 2 species
GGUUAAGCGACUAAGCGUACACGGUGGAUGCCCUGGCAGUCAGAGGCGAUGAAGGACGUGCUAAUCUGCGAUAAGCGUCGGUAAGGUGAUAUGAACCGUUAUAACCGGCGAUUUCCGAAUGGGGAAACCCAGUGUGAUUCGUCACACUAUCAUUAACUGAAUCCAUAGGUUAAUGAGGCGAACCGGGGGAACUGAAACAUCUAAGUACCCCGAGGAAAAGAAAUCAACCGAGAUUCCCCCAGUAGCGGCGAGCGAACGGGGAGCAGCCCAGAGCCUGAAUCAGUGUGUGUGUUAGUGGAAGCGUCUGGAAAGGCGUGCGAUACAGGGUGACAGCCCCGUACACAAAAAUGCACAUACUGUGAGCUCGAUGAGUAGGGCGGGACACGUGGUAUCCUGUCUGAAUAUGGGGGGACCAUCCUCCAAGGCUAAAUACUCCUGACUGACCGAUAGUGAACCAGUACCGUGAGGGAAAGGCGAAAAGAACCCCGGCGAGGGGAGUGAAAAAGAACCUGAAACCGUGUACGUACAAGCAGUGGGAGCACGCUUAGGCGUGUGACUGCGUACCUUUUGUAUAAUGGGUCAGCGACUUAUAUUCUGUAGCAAGGUUAACCGAAUAGGGGAGCCGAAGGGAAACCGAGUCUUAACUGGGCGUUAAGUUGCAGGGUAUAGACCCGAAACCCGGUGAUCUAGCCAUGGGCAGGUUGAAGGUUGGGUAACACUAACUGGAGGACCGAACCGACUAAUGUUGAAAAAUUAGCGGAUGACUUGUGGCUGGGGGUGAAAGGCCAAUCAAACCGGGAGAUAGCUGGUUCUCCCCGAAAGCUAUUUAGGUAGCGCCUCGUGAAUUCAUCUCCGGGGGUAGAGCACUGUUUCGGCAAGGGGGUCAUCCCGACUUACCAACCCGAUGCAAACUGCGAAUACCGGAGAAUGUUAUCACGGGAGACACACGGCGGGUGCUAACGUCCGUCGUGAAGAGGGAAACAACCCAGACCGCCAGCUAAGGUCCCAAAGUCAUGGUUAAGUGGGAAACGAUGUGGGAAGGCCCAGACAGCCAGGAUGUUGGCUUAGAAGCAGCCAUCAUUUAAAGAAAGCGUAAUAGCUCACUGGUCGAGUCGGCCUGCGCGGAAGAUGUAACGGGGCUAAACCAUGCACCGAAGCUGCGGCAGCGACGCUUAUGCGUUGUUGGGUAGGGGAGCGUUCUGUAAGCCUGUGAAGGUGUACUGUGAGGUAUGCUGGAGGUAUCAGAAGUGCGAAUGCUGACAUAAGUAACGAUAAAGCGGGUGAAAAGCCCGCUCGCCGGAAGACCAAGGGUUCCUGUCCAACGUUAAUCGGGGCAGGGUGAGUCGACCCCUAAGGCGAGGCCGAAAGGCGUAGUCGAUGGGAAACAGGUUAAUAUUCCUGUACUUGGUGUUACUGCGAAGGGGGGACGGAGAAGGCUAUGUUGGCCGGGCGACGGUUGUCCCGGUUUAAGCGUGUAGGCUGGUUUUCCAGGCAAAUCCGGAAAAUCAAGGCCGAGGCGUGAUGACGAGGCACUACGGUGCUGAAGCAACAAAUGCCCUGCUUCCAGGAAAAGCCUCUAAGCAUCAGGUAACAUCAAAUCGUACCCCAAACCGACACAGGUGGUCAGGUAGAGAAUA